CAACUUUCAACAACGGAUCUCUUGGCUCUCGCAUCGAUGAAGAACGCAGCGAAAUGCGAUAAGUAAUGUGAAUUGCAGAAUUCAGUGAAUCAUCGAAUCUUUGAACGCACCUUGCGCUUCUUGGGUAAUUCCGAGGAGCAUGCCUGUUUGAGUGUCAUUA
rnacentral:rRNA from 1 species